GUCGCUGUUUUUUCCUUCCAUUACGAUUUGUCUUAUCCCAAACUUCGUGUUGCACAGAGGAUAAUUUCAGUUUUUGCAAACUGUGAUAAUUUUAAUUUUCGCACAUUUUGAUAAUUGCAAUUAUCACGUUCAUGUGAAAACUAGAAUUUCCCAUGUAACUAGAUGACCGCAAUGCGGUGGGGGGCCGACUGAGAAAUCACUCGAUUCCCAUCCGAAUAAAUUUUCACCGAUAAAGAAAGAGCUUGGGACACAUAUUGUGCAACACUUUUCUCCAUGAUAGAGCAUCUAGGCGGACUGCCAUUGAAUCCCUCUUCCAGGAAAAGCUCGAUCGGUUCCUCCGAUGAGUGUGGAAUUGUUCAGGAAAGAUUACAAAUGUUCCUAAACAAAAUCUACUAUGAUUUUAUAAUUUCAUUUUAUAUCACGGGUUUAUGAGCCGGUACUGUUUUACGGAAGGAAAACAUAUAUUAUUAGCAUUUUACAAAAAUAGAAAUUAAAUUUUAAUUCCUAAAAGCGUUAAAAAGAACAAGUGUGGUAAAUGUAAACUCAUAACUCCACGUGUUGGUGCUCUUACAUGCACUGUGUUUUGUUAUAACCAGUCUAGGGUUCCAUAUAUAUUUUAAGUGGUUACGGUAAAUACAACCCCAAUUCAAUGCCUUCUUUUCCGUAACUUUCUUUUGCAUUUUUAACUCCCUACCAAACAAAUUCCGUUUUUUUAUUUAAUGGAUGCAGUUUCUACUCUGAUUGGAUUUGAAUCAUGGGUUAUGGGAGAUUGAUCAGAUCUGUGUGACUUCAAUUUUUGGUUAAUGAAGAAUCAAUUAAGUUAUUACUCAUUGUUUUUUUCGGUAUGGUGGUGAUGAAGGUGAGACUGUGAGAGUAAUUUGAUUCCUAUCUUUAGUAUCUACCGCAAGAAUUCUGGGCUAAUUAAUCGGGUGCGGUUUUAACCCGAUCUGGUUCAUCAUCUCCUACAUCCGCGAUUAACCCGAGAUGACCCGAAAUCUCUGUAAUUUACAGUAUACCUCUGUUUUUAUUCCAGAUUUUCUUUUCCAAUUAACUUCAGCGAAAUAAUGCAUGAAGAUUUGAGUUGUUUGUUGAUUCCUCAAAUUGGAUAGAUGUAUAAAUUUCUUUGGUUGAUCAUUUUUUGAUUAAUUCUAUGAAUUUAAUCAUAGUUAAACUUUGAA